rnacentral:rRNA from 1 species
AUGGCGGGGGCUGGGCAGGCUAGGAAGGAGCACUCGGCUACGGAGGAGGUGGACUCCAAGGCGGCGGUGGCUCGGCUGAUCACGCUCAAGGUGGUGAGCCAGGAGCGCGUGGUCCGCCACACCAUGAAGAUGACCGACAAGCUCCAGAUCCUCAAGGACGUGUGGUACCACAAGGUGCCGGAAGUAACUCCCAGCACGGGCGUCUUCAUGAUCAACGGCUCCCGCUUUCGCCCCGAUAGCACCCCUGAGGAGCUCGAACUGGAGGAGGACGAUAUGGUCGAUUUCUUUGAACAUAUGGAUGGAGGAGCGCCGCUGGUUGCUGCAUGGAUGUGGGAGUAG